rnacentral:piRNA from 1 species
UGGUACAACUUUUCUGUUUUU